GCCUUGGUAGCUUAGUCGGUGGAACACGAGACUCUUAAUCUCAGGGUUGUGGGUUUGAGCCCCAUGUUGGGCA